rnacentral:rRNA from 1 species
UAGGGAAUAUUGGUCAAUGGAUGGAAGUCUGAACCAGCCAUGCCGCGUGCAGGAAGAAGGCCUUCUGGGUUGUAAACUGCUUUUGCCAGGGGCUAAAAAGCUCAUGCGUGGGAAAUUGAAAGUACCUGGUGAAUAAGCCACGGCUAACUACGUGCCAGCAGCCGCGGUAAUACGUAGGUGGCAAGCGUUGUCCGGAUUUAUUGGGUUUAAAGGGUGCGUAGGCGGUUUUGUAAGUCAGUGGUGAAAUAUAGCAGCUUAACUGUUAGGGUGCCAUUGAUACUGCAGAACUUGAGUACAGAUGAGGUAGGCGGAAUUGACGGUGUAGCGGUGAAAUGCUUAGAUAUCGUCAAGAACACCGAUAGCGAAGGCAGCUUACUAGGCUGUAACUGACGCUGAGGCACGAAAGUGUGGGGAUCAAACAGGAUUAGAUACCCUGGUAGUCCACACUGUAAACGUUGAAGACUCGCUGUGUGCGAUAAACAGUACGG